GGACAUUAUAUCAGAGCUCAAUGAGUAUUUCUAUGGCGUAUCGUAUAGCGCCUUACAGUAGCGCUCUGCCACAAUCUGGAAUGCAAUAAGAUUAAGUUGGUGCUGGGCAGCAACUUAAAGUCCUGCCAGACACAGUACAGAAUUAAUCAUUUUUUUCUACCAAUAAUACACACUACCGUGUUUUUCAAAAGAGUUCACAAUAAUGAAAUCUGUCAUUGUGCAGACAAAUAUGAGCAAUUUGAUACAACAGGAUAAAGCACAUGUGAUACAAACUGUGCACUUUCUUCAUGGAUAUAUUCAUACUAUUUAUUUCAAAUUAGUAUUAAAGUAUUUGGCAAUCUUUCCUUGCUCGCAG